CCUACGGGGGGCAGCAGUGGGGAAUCUUGCGCAAUGCGCGAAAGCGUGACGCAGCAACGCCGCGUGCGGGAAGACGGCCUUCGGGUUGUAAACCGCUUUCAGUUGGGACGAAGCUUCGUCCGGUGAAUAGCCGGGCGAAGUGACGGUACCUUCAGAAGAAGCCCCGGCUAACUACGUGCCAGCAGCCGCGGUAAUACGUAGGGGGCGAGCGUUGUCCGGAAUCAUUGGGCGUAAAGCGCGUGUAGGCGGCUUGGUAAGUCCGCUCUGAAAGCCCGGGGCUCAACCCCGGGAGGCGGGUGGAUACUGCUGAGCUCGAGUCCGGAAGAGGCGAGUGGAAUUCCUGGUGUAGCGGUGAAAUGCGCAGAUAUCAGGAGGAACACCUAUGGCGAAGGCAGCUCGCUGGGACGGUACUGACGCUGAGACGCGAAAGCGUGGGGAGC
rnacentral:rRNA from 1 species